GAUUUAUAAAAUGAUGAAUUUGCGAAGGAUCGAAACACUGAAUUUUGUACAUCCAUAGCUGUGAAUGAAGAUAAGAAUGAGCCAGAAUAUAUGAGAAUAAACUAUAGGAUCUAAGGAAUGUGCUCCAUGUCUUUUUUCUUCUGUUAUUUUCUCCUCAACUCUGAUAGCUAUGUAUUGAUCAAAAUGGAGGUAAAAGUACGUGAGGCACAAAUUCUUGAUGCUUCUCUUUCGAGAACUUUGAUACUUCCAUCUAAUUUCGUGCAUCUUUAAAGAGAAAAUUUCCAGGACCACAAUGUUGUUAUAUAUGAAAAUUAUAUCAACUCAGUGAUAAAAAUUAAAAGUUAAAAUAAAGGCUUCAAUUGCAUGGAACAUGCAAUCGUACGUGUACUAACAUAAAGAUGAUCUGUAAUAUCGAAACGUAUAGCUGGUAAAUGUAUAAAAAGGAAAACAGUAGAUUGUACUAUAGACUGUUUGCAAAUAUUAUAAUCUGAGGAUUAUAUUUCCAUAUAUUAUAUAGAAAUAAAUAGUCAUAAUCAUAUUGUAAUACCCGAUAAAAAAUUGAUAAUAAUAAUAAAAAAAUAAAAAAAUAUAUAUUAUUUGGAUUUGGUCUUUUAUUUGGGUCAAACUAGUCAUUUGACUUAAGUGGACUAAUAAGUAUUAAUAAGUGAGGAUAAGCUAAUUUGAUAAAAUUGGACCUUAAAAAUUAUUGGGUUUAAUUUAUGUGGGUAAUAUUAAAUUAUAUUAUAAUUAAGAAAAUUAAUAAAAUUUGUUAAUAAAUAAACAUAUAACUAGACCUAAUCUUAUUUCAUUAUACAAAUCGAGGAAAAGAGAUGAAAAGAAAAGAAGUUAGAUGCGGCUGAGAACAGUGAGAAUAAUAAGAAGUUUGUUCGCGAAAGAAAUAGGAGGUCGUUUAUAAGGUAUUUUUUAGUAUAUAUUUUCUGAUUAUGACUAGUAUUGUUUCGGUUAGGUGGGUAAUUUUUAGCCCAUAUGAUGUUGGUUUUUGAUUUUAUGAUAUUUUGAAUGAUGACUAAUUUAAGUAUAUUAGACAUGUGCAUGAUUCAUGGUUUGUUAUAAUAUGAUAAUAUAAUAUGCAUGAAUAUUGACAAUAUAUAAUAUUAUAUUAUAUACAUGGAUUGUGGGUGGACAUUAUGGUAACAUAUAGCAGUCCAUAUAAAUCUAUAUUGCAUGAUUGCUGUAAUCUCAUCUCAAAUUGACAGGGAAUGAAAUUUGGUCAACUGAUUAGUUAAUUCAAAUUUGAACUAGAAGCUUCAAAAGGUAUAUGCUCUAAAUAUAGUAUAUUGUUAACAAACCAUAUCUUUCGUAUCCCUUCAUAUCAGAUGAUUGAUAUCAUAUCUUUUCGGUGAGCUUAUCAAGGAAAACAAUAUAUCUAUUGAUUUGGUGCUGAUAUCUUGUGACUGAGGAUUUCAUGGAAUCAGCCUUCUCAUAUAUAGCCGUUGGAAGCUCUACUAUAUAUAUCUCUCUUGCCCGGCUAUUGGAAGAGACAACUUGGAAAAGCUUCAAUGAGUCUCAUACGUUCUAUUCAAUAGCGAUUCUGAGUUUCUUUCCAGCAACCCUUUUGUAUUGUUCUUAAAUUGUAUUAUGCUGGAAACUUGAUAGUCUGCAUUCAAUAUCCUUGUUCUUAUUUUAAGCCGUGUAUCGGCUUGGUCUAUCUAGAGUUGAUAGGAUCUGUUUGUAGACAUGCUUUCAAGGCUGCAGUAGUGCAGAGGUCUCAGUGGUGAGAAGGAUUGCAGAGGUGCAAGAAGGGGCAGUCGUGUCCAACGGAAAGCUUUCUCAAACAGGG
rnacentral:lncRNA from 1 species